GAUGAACGCUGGCGGCGUGCCCCUUUAUGCAAGUCGAACGCGCAGCGAGAGGUGCUUGCACCUUUCAAGCGAGUGGCGAACGGGUGAGUAACACGUGGAUAACCUGCCUCAAGGCUGGGGAUAACAUUUGGAAACAGAUGCUAAUACCGAAUAAAACUUAGUAUCGCAUGAUAUCAAGUUAAAAGGCGCUACGGCGUCACCUAAAGAUGGAUCCGCGGUGCAUUAGUUAGUUGGGGGGGUAAAGGCUUACCAAGACAAUGAUGCAUAGCCAAGUUGAGAGACUGAUCGGCCACAUUGGGACUGAAACACGGCCCAAACUCCUACGGGAGGCUGCAGUAGGGAAUCUUCCACAAUGGGCGCAAGCCUGAUGGAGCACCGCCGCGUGUGUGAUGAAGGCUUUCGGGUCGUAAAGCACUGUUGUAUGGAAAGAAAUGCUAAAAUAGGGAAUGAUUUUAGUUUGACGGUACCAUACCAAAAAGGGACGGCUAAAUACGUG
rnacentral:rRNA from 1 species